GACGAACGCUGGCGGCGUGCCUAAUACAUGCAAGUAGAACGCACAGUUUAUACCGUAGCUUGCUACACCAUAGACUGUGAGUUGCGAACGGGUGAGUAACGCGUAGGUAACCUGCCUGGUAGCGGGGGAUAACUAUUGGAAACGAUAGCUAAUACCGCAUAAUAUUGAUUAUUGCAUGAUAAUUGAUUGAAAGAUGCUAUUGCAUCACUACCAGAUGGACCUGCGUUGUAUUAGCUAGUAGGUGAGGUAACGGCUCACCUAGGCGACGAUACAUAGCCGACCUGAGAGGGUGAUCGGCCACACUGGGACUGAGACACGGCCCAGACUCCUAUGGGAGGCAGCAGUAGGGAAUCUUCGGCAAUGGACGAAAGUCUGACCGAGCAACGCCGCGUGAGUGAAGAAGGUUUUCGGAUCGUAAAGCUCUGUUGUAAGAGAAGAACGGGUGUGAGAGUGGAAAGUUCACACUGUGACGGUAUCUUACCAGAAAGGGACGGCUAACUACGUG
rnacentral:rRNA from 1 species